rnacentral:rRNA from 1 species
GGUUGAUCCUGCCAGUAGUCAUAUGCUUGUCUCAAAGACUAAGCCAUGCAUGUCUAAGUAUAAACAAUUUUAUACAGCGAAACUGCGAACGGCUCAUUAUAUCAGUUAUAAUCUACUUGAUCGUAUUCUCUUACUUGGAUAACCGUAGUAAUUCUAGAGCUAAUACAUGCAAAAGGACCUGACGAAAGAAGGGUUGUAUUUAUUAGGUACAAAAUCAAUGCCAGUCUUUGAUUGGAAGAAUUGAUGAUUCAUAAUAACUAAACGAAGCGCAGGCCUAGAGUCGGCGCUGAUA